GACGAACGCUGGCGGCAUGCUUAACACAUGCAAGUCGAACGGGACCGUCGGGUCUAGUGGCGCAGGGGUGCGUAACGCGUGGGAACCUGCCCUUAGGUUCGCAAUAACUCCCCGAAAGGGGUGCUAAUACCGGAGAAUGUCUUAGGACCUAAGAUUUUUCGCCUUUGGAUGGGGGCGCGUUAGAUUCGCUAGUUGGUAGGGUAAAAGCCUACCAAGGCGACGAUGCAUAGCUGGUCUGAGAGGAUGAUCAGGCAGACUGGCACUGCGACACGGCCCAGCCUCGUACGGGAGGCAGCAGUGGGGAAUAUUGGGCAAUGGGCGAAAGCCUGAUAAAGCAAUGCCGCGUGAGUGAUGAAGGCCUUAGGGUUGUAAAGCUGUUUUAGCCGGGAUGAUAAUGACAGUACCGGGAGAAUAAGCUCCGGCUAACUCCGUG
rnacentral:rRNA from 1 species